rnacentral:rRNA from 1 species
AGGAAAUUAACCUUUAUUUAGCUCACAAUUGUUACAUUAUCAACCAGGAAAUCAGGGGAUCAUCCAGUCACACGGACGGACUGAUUCUGGUAUGUGGAGCUGAAAGAUGGUGUGCCUCUCUAGGCCAGGUGCUUCACAAAACAAAAUGGUGUCCAAACUUGAUGGCGAUCACCUAUUCACAAGAUGGCGCAUCGAGUUGGCCUCACAGACAGCUCUCCUGCUUGACGACGGAAUCGUGACACGUCCCAAAACAUCAGAGACAUCAUCCAGCCGUGAACUUCCUUCCUUCCUUCCGGCACGCACGCACGCACGUAUGUUCCCGUGAUCCCGUCUAUACCCAUCGAGUCGAGACACAAAAAACUUACCGCUCCCCGUUGACCAGGAGAGGAGAACUCCGCUCGGGACGGACGCGAUCCCCCCGCGCGCCAUGGCCGGUUCCCGUCGCGCCCUCCGCUUCGUCCUGCUCCUGCCGGCCAUCCUCGGCGCCCUCCUGCCGCCGGCCGCCGCGGGGCCGCCCAAGGUAUCCCUGGCGCUCUACUACGAGUCGCUCUGCCCCUACUGCUCGCGCUUCAUCGUCACCCGCCUCGCCGGGAUCUUCGACAGCGGCCUCAUCCACGCCGUCGACCUCCUGCUCGUCCCCUACGGCAACGCCCACGUCCACGGCGCCAACAACACCAUCUCCUGCCAGCAUGGCCCCGAUGAAUGCCUUCUGAACAACGUGGAGGCUUGUGCCAUCGACGCCUGGCCGGAUUUGAAUGUGCAUUUCGGUUUCAUCAACUGCGUGGAGGACCUGGUGAUGAACCGCAAGCGCGAGGAAUGGGAGUCGUGCUUCCAGAAACAGGGGCUUGACCCCAAGCCUGUCAUGGAGUGCUACAACAGUGAUCAAGGCCACAAGCUUUCGCUCAAGUAUGGGAAACAGACUGAUGCGCUUGUGCCCCCGCACAAGUACGUUCCAUGGGUGGUGGUUGAUGGCCAGCCGCUGUACGAGGACUACGAGAACUUCGAAGCUUACGUCUGCAAGGCGUACAAGGGCCAUCCUCCCAAGAUUUGCCAAGGGCUGGGCCGUGACUACCCAAUCGUACAACAGGUGGUGGAGGCUGGCAACGGUGUCACCUACAACUCCGGCGAUUUCGAGCUGGAUGAAGGGGGCGACGACAAGAUUAAGAUGGUGCAGGGUGAUGACAAUUGAUAGAUUGUAUGUCUCCUUUCGGGGAUCCUAUACCGAUAUACAUGAACAUAGGGCUGUUUCAUCUGUCUGUUCAGGUUAAUUAUGAUGUAAGUUAUAAAAGAAAAGCUUAAUUAUGAUGUACAUCGGUAAUAAAGUGAUUUAUGGUGAUGUAAAUUCAUGUUCAAGUUAAUAUGUAGAUAUACAUGAGCAUUGUGAGUUUUAUUUUUCCGUUCAAGUUUUUUUUUUGGCGGUGUUCAAGUUAAUAUGGAAAUAUACAAUGUGCGAU